rnacentral:rRNA from 1 species
GUUGACGCUGGCGGCAGGCCUAACACAUGCAAGUCGAACGAGUGGCGGACGGGUGAGUAAUGUCGGGGAAACUGCCUGAUGGAUGGGGUUAAUUACUGGAAACGGUAGCUAAUACGGCAUACCAUCGGAUUUGCCCAGAUGGUAUGAGGUUGUUGGUAGGGUAACGGCUCACCAAGGCGACGAUCCAUAGCUGGUCUGAGAGGGUGACCAGCCACACUGGAACUGAGACACGGUCCAGACUCCUACGGGAGGCAGCAGUAGGGAAUAUUGCACAAUGGGCGCAAGCCUGAUGCAGCCAUGCCGCGUGUAUGAUGAAGGCCUUCGGAUUGUAAAGCACUUUCAUCAGGGAAGCGUUACCCGCAGAAGAAGCACCGGCUAACUCCGUGCCAGCCGCCGCGGUAAUUC